rnacentral:lncRNA from 1 species
AAACAUUACCACCGUAGCUGGUAUAGUUAAAUUUGCACAUCUUUACUCUGCCUAGUUGGGGUACACAUACACAGUCAUUUUAAAAGUUUGCACUGCUCUAUCCCAUACAGGAGGACAUAUAGGCUGUAUUGCUAUGGGGUACCUUUGCAAAACUUAGCUAAAUUCAGGUUAGCAGUUGUGCUAGCAUAGUUAUUUUAGAGAACAGUUGUAUUCUGUGUACAAUUUUAAGUGACAAAAAGAUUACACAGAGUUGUGUGGAUCAGUGCAGUCAUUGGAAUGUAACAGUGUUUUCUUACCUGUAUUAGCUGAACAUGAAAUCGAGGUUUUUCUUUCUGCCUUCCUAGGAACAUUUGCCCCACUCAGAGUGCUGAUGCCAUCCCCCAGCAUGCUGUGAAAUAGUCUAAUAGCCUGGCACACAAAAGAAAGGGGAACAAAGUUUUUAUUUCAUGAAAAUGUGGAUCACGCUGUCUUUCACAGGAUGUAAAGCCUCCUGAAAUUGCUAUUCUGUCAGUGUUGCCUCUCUUAAUCCUAAAACAUUUCAUCAUGGAAGUACUGUGGAAGUACAUGGGUGGGUUCUGAAUUGAUUCAAAGGUACUCAGCUGCUGCAUCAUCUUUAUUUUCACACAUCAAAGAACUCUGGCACAUCUACUAAGUCACAUAGAAAGACCCAGAAUCAGCAGUUACCCUCAAGUUACUCUGGAAGAACUUCCUAGGCUCAAACAAAACCCCAAAUUACGUACGGACCAGGGGAAGGACACUCAGUUUUGUUGGCUUCAUCCUGUGACUCCCUGCCUGUUAGCUUGCUCAGGGGCAGAUGCUGGAGCUCAGGGCCACCAGCGUGACAUAAAGGUGACUGGGCAGAUGUGCCUGGCAUGCCGAGCCACAGAACGGGCAGAAGAUGCAGCAGCUGGGGGCUUGUUUCUUCUUCUGGACCUGGAACUCCAUGGAGUCAGGAGAAAAGUUGUGCUUUUGUCAAAUACAUGUAAGGUCAAUGACGUAGCCAAUGCAGGAUGGAUGGAAAAAUAA